UGCGUUUCUAAAAUGACUAAUUACUUUUAUUUAAAAAAUAACAUUAUCUAUUAAAGAAUGGUGACAGUAGGGACUAAACAAAAAGUAAAAACUCCAAAACUCUCCCCACCUAGGGUGUGGGGUCGGGGGAGGGAACGGUAACAAUAAAAACAACAUCUGAAUAUGUAAACUCAGUUUCUCGGGUUAGAAUUUGCAUUUUUGUCAGAACCAGAAUUCACUGUACAGGACAUCAUCACAUGCUCAGACUUCUAAAACAUUUCGUGGAAGAGAGUAGACUGUUUACCGGAUGCCCUUCUAUUUUUGCCGUGCAGGAUUAGUACCUUCUACUUCCUUAAAUGUAGGCAAAUAAAAUUACGGAGAAAUAAAAUGACUGCAGCCUUUGAGCGCUGGUUUGUCCUAGGACAAUCGGAUUUCACCGGGUAACGUAUAUGCAAACAGACACGUCCCGUUUAUUUCAUUGUUUGCACUGCGGAGACUCUCCGCCGCUCUCCACGCCUUUGUUGACCUACCGCCAGCAAAGUUGUGUGGUUAUAAAUAGAUAGAGGCAGCUGAUUAAGAAGCGGGGGGAGUGACUUUCUCUGGGCUCUUACGGAUCAAUCACCGCUAAGGGGAUGCAGGUUGAGGGGAAGGAAGAAAGUAAAUCGCGGGGCAGUUUGACUAAGUGAAACCCAAUUCCUUCGCCCCAAAGCUGUGGUGGCCAGACGUGCGCGACCCUCUAGACCCAAAACAGUUUUAGUCAGCAACGGGUCAUCAGCAGGACCGAGAAGACUGGGUGGGAGGUCUGGCCGGUCCGAAAUAGGGAAGAGGUGCGGGCUCAUCACCGAGGCGGUAGGGCUCGGCUUAUGGUCUAGAGCCUUGAGGCGCUCCCGCGUGAGCCCCGCUGCUUCCAGUCCGCCCUCGCCUGGCCCGGCGCGGGUCGCUCCCUCCUCCCCGUCCUGUUCCGCACUUUACCCAGCAGGGGUCCCAGGUCGAGCAGGGCCAACCCUGCUCGCGCAGCGCCGGACCCCUCCCCGCUGCCCGGGGUGCGGCGGCUUCCCUCCGCCCAAACGGGGGGUGUCUCCUCCAUCACCCCUGCCGCGGCUUCCCAGUCGGAGUCGCGCUGCGGGGCGAGGGAGGCUCGCUCCUCCGCGGCCGGGGCCUGGGGGUGCCAGUGCGCCCCCGAGUGAGCGGGUCGGGGAAGGUGUGAUUAUGAAAAUAAACAAGGGAAGUGAGGGAAAUAUAACCAAGUGGAAAAAGGAAAUGGAGUGCAAAUUGAGAACAUAAUCCAGAAUUCGUAAAAGUGGUAUGGAUAAAGAAGGUCAAAAUGGUCUCUGAUGAAAAGAAACUUUUAAAAUGCUUGGAAAAGUUAAUGAAUUAGAUUUCCCUGCACUUGAAGAUAUUAGGAUUGGGAGAUCAAGACUCCCAUCAGCCAAAUCAAGAAUAUUCACAAUUGACAGGAAAACUCAAAGUUUCUUUUUCCCCACCAGAGAAAUGUCUCCCACCCCCAUAGCUAAACAGUGGUAAGUCAUAGAAAUGAUUAUAUUAGCUUAAAGAGAAUGUUUCCUAAGCAAUAAACUUCAAGUGCACACAACCUAGUUUUUAUUUUAUUUAUUUCAUGUAGUUUGUCAUAAGUGCUUGAAAAUACUUCUUGCAAAAAUGUCCUUUUUAACUUUAUAAAACUUGUUUUCUGCUGUGGAUAAAAUUACUAUGUGAUAAACUAUAGUUUUUUUUUAAAGUCUUUGCAGCAAUAAUGAAAGUUCAAUGAAAAGAACAUAACUAGAAGCGAUGUGCAACACCCCUUUAUUUUUAAAUAGCCUUUAAAUGAUUUACGAAAUAAAAAUGCUAGUUCAGUUUCCCUUAAAUAACCAGUAUUUCACCAAAUAUUUUCUGCGUUCUUAAAUGUUCAAA
rnacentral:lncRNA from 1 species